rnacentral:lncRNA from 1 species
GGUCUCUCCACUGCGGGGCAGGCCCCUCGUUCCAGAGGGUUGCUGCAGACACAGCUUCCUCCCACAACCGAUUUAAGCAGAAGGACGUUCCUUCAGGUGCUACCGGCCAGUUGGCAGAAUUGCUGGGGCUUCAGGCUGGAGAAUCUCAGUGAGGAUGAAGGUCAGCUUCACACCGCAGAACAGGCGUCCCCAGCGUCCCUGAGCUGAUCCACUCCUCCCGCCUCUUUCUCUCGAUCUGGGCCUUCAGACGGGAUGGGAG